UUUGAAAGAUUUUCGUCUACUUCUACUGGACAGUCGCGUUGCGUUCAAUGGAUUAAUUUGCAUAAAGCUGGGCAUCAGCCAGCUUCUUUGACAUGCAGCAUUUUUUCAAAUGCAGCGCUGCCUUCCCGGGAUGCUUUGCGGGCGCGUAAGUCGCUUGACGUCACCCAUAGGAAUAAAGUGGAGCGCGACGCGACAGAAGCGUUGCAGGGCAAGGUGGAUCUGCACGGCUAGUCAGCCGAAGCGCUGC